GCCCGAAUGGCUCAGUGGUAAAGCGUCUCACUAGUAUUCCAGUCUCUACAUAGAUAAUCAUCUACUGUAGGUGGAUCCGAAAUGAGAAGAUCGCCAGUUCGAUUCUGGCUUUGGGCA
rnacentral:tRNA from 1 species